rnacentral:rRNA from 1 species
AGGACGAACGCUGGCGGCGUGCUUAACACAUGCAAGUCGAACGAGGCCCUGCCUUCGGGCAGGUGACCUAGUGGCGAACGGGUGAGUAACACGUGGGCAACCUACCCUCAGCUCUGGGAUAAACCCCGGGAAACCGGAGCUAAUACCGGAUACGACCUGGAACGACAUCGUUCCUGGUGGAAAGUUUUUUCGGCUGAGGAUGGGCCCGCGGCCUAUCAGCUUGUUGGUGGGGUAAUGGCCUACCAAGGCGACGACGGGUA